GUUCGUAGGCGGUUUGUCGCGUCGUUUGUGAAAACCCGGGGCUCAACUUCGGGCUUGCAGGCGAUACGGGCAGACUUGAGUGUUUCAGGGGAGACUGGAAUUCCUGGUGUAGCGGUGAAAUGCGCAGAUAUCAGGAGGAACACCGGUGGCGAAGGCGGGUCUCUGGGAAACAACUGACGCUGAGGAACGAAAGCGUGGGUAGCAAACAGGAUUAGAUACCCUGGUAGUCCACGCCGUAAACGGUGG
rnacentral:rRNA from 1 species